AAUUCGACGCAACGCGAAGAACCUUACCUGGGCUUGACAUCCCGAUCGCACCUUAUGGAAACAUAGGGUCAGUUCGGCUGGAUCGGUGACAGGUGCUGCAUGGCUGUCGUCAGCUCGUGUCGCGAGAUGUUGGGUUAAGUCCCGCAACGAGCGCAACCCUUAUCUUUAAUUGCCAACGCGUGAAGGCGAGCACUCUAGACGAACUGCCGUUGACAAAACGGAGGAAGGUGGGGAUGACGUCAAAUCAUCAUGCCCCUUAUGUUCUGGGCUACACACGUGCUACAAUGGUUGGUACAACGAGUUGCGAGUCGGUGACGGCGAGCUAAUCUCUUAAAGCCAAUCUCAGUUCGGAUUGUAGGCUGCAACUCGCCUACAUGAAGUCGGAAUCGCUAGUAAUCGCGGAUCAGCAUGCCGCGGUGAAUACGUUCCCGGGCCUU
rnacentral:rRNA from 1 species